UAGGGAAUCUUCGGCAAUGGGGGCAACCCUGACCGAGCAACGCCGCGUGAGUGAAGAAGGUUUUCGGAUCGUAAAGCUCUGUUGUAAGAGAAGAAUGUGUGUGAGAGUGGAAAGUUCACACAGUGACGGUAACUUACCAGAAAGGGACGGCUAACUACGU
rnacentral:rRNA from 1 species